rnacentral:tRNA from 1 species
GCCUGGGUGGUUCAGUUCUUUAAGCACCCAACUUGGGCUCAGGUCACGGUCUCACGGUUCGCGGGUUCAAGCCCCGCCUCAGGCU